rnacentral:rRNA from 1 species
AGAGUUUGAUCCUGGCUCAGGAUAAACGCUAGCGGGAGGCCUAACACAUGCAAGUCGAGGGGCAGCGGGGUAGCAAUACUGCCGGCGACCGGCGCACGGGUGAGUAACGCGUAUGUAACCUACCUUUUACACGGGGAUAGCCUAGAGAAAUUUGGAUUAAUACCCGAUGGUAUUUUAUUGACGAUGGUUGGUAAAAUUAAAGAAUUUCGGUAAAAGAUGGGCAUGCGUCUGAUUAGCUAGUUGGUGAGGUAAGAGCUCACCAAGGCGACGAUCAGUAGGGGCUCUAAGAGGAGUAACCCCCACACUGACACUGAGAUACGGGUCAGACUCCUACGGGAGGCAGCAGUGAGGAAUAUUGGUCAAUGGUCGAAAGGCUGAACCAGCCAUCCCGCGUGCAGGAUGAAGGAGCUCUGCUUUGUAAACUGCUUUUUUAGGGGAAGAAAAAAACUUUUCGUAAGUUCUUGCCGGUACCCUAAGAAUAAGCACCGGCUAACUACGUGCCAGCAGCCGCGGUAAUACGUAGGGUGCAAGCGUUAUCCGGAAUUAUUGGGUUUAAAGGACGCGUAGGCGGUUACUUAAGCCAGAGGUGAAAGUUUGCAGCUCAACUGUAAAAUUGCCUUUGAUACUGGGUUGACUAGAGAGGUUUCGACGUGGAUGGAAUGUGUGGUGUAGCGGUGAAAUGCGUAGA